rnacentral:rRNA from 1 species
UACGUAGGGUGCAAGCGUUAAUCGGAAUUACUGGGCGUAAAGCGUGCGCAGGCGGUUAUAUAAGACAGUUGUGAAAUCCCCGGGCUCAACCUGGGAACUGCAUCUGUGACUGUAUAGCUAGAGUACGGUAGAGGGGGAUGGAAUUCCGCGUGUAGCAGUGAAAUGCGUAGAUAUGCGGAGGAACACCGAUGGCGAAGGCAAUCCCCUGGACCUGUACUGACGCUCAUGCACGAAAGCGUGGGGAGCA